GAAGUUUUCAGAGAUGAGAAUGUGCCUUCGGGAACCGUGAGACAGGUGCUGCAUGGCUGUCGUCAGCUCGUGUUGUGAAAUGUUGGGUUAAGUCCCGCAACGAGCGCAACCCUUAUCCUUUGUUGCCAGCGGUCCGGCCGGGAACUCAAAGGAGACUGCCAGUGAUAAACUGGAGGAAGGUGGGGAUGACGUCAAGUCAUCAUGGCCCUUACGACCAGGGCUACACACGUGCUACAAUGGCGCAUACAAAGAGAAGCGACCUCGCGAGAGCAAGCGGACCUCAUAAAGUGCGUCGUAGUCCGGAUUGGAGUCUGCAACUCGACUCCAUGAAGUCGGAAUCGCUAGUAAUCGUGGAUCAGAAUGCCACGGUGAAUACGUUCCCGGGCCUUGUACACACCGCCCGUCACACCAUGGGAGUGGGUUGCAAAAGAAGUAGGUAGCUUAACCUUCGGGAGGGCGCUUACCACUUUGUGAUUCAUGACUGGGGUGAAGUCGUAACAAGGUAACCGUAGGGGAACCUGCGGUUGGAUCACCUCCUUA
rnacentral:rRNA from 4 species